GGCGUCGGAGCGGCCACAAGAUGGCGUCGCAAGCCUGUCUGCGAGAGGCGCGCGGCCGCGGCGGCUGGCGGUGCUGAGGGGGGGCGCGCGGCCGUGUUGGCACGCGCCGCAGCCGUUAGGACUCGCGGCCCCGCCCAGCCCUCAGCGCCUCACGGUAGAUGGAGGCGGUGGUGCCACGCUUGGACGCGGUAGCCGAAGCGAAUGCAAAUGAGCAAAUCCAAAAGCGACAGAAAUCACAGAACUAUUACGCUUGGAACAGACCUCUAAGAUCAUCUAGUCUGACCAUAAACUCAUCAUCAGAGAUUUGCAUGGCUUAUCCAUCUGGACUCCAAGGGAAACAUCCAGACUCUGAACUGAGGAUGACAGAAAGCUGAUGCUAGAGAAAGUGAAAGGGAACGUACCCAGGGCUGCUGGGGAGACCUCGGCUCGUAUGGAGGUAAGGAGGGAGGGAGGGAAUCCAGGAACGGAAAGAAGGAUGGGAGCAAAGAGGGAAGGGAGACAGACGGGCAGCGCUAUCCCUCACUGCCUGUCCGGAGAGAGAAAGCGGAGGGGGCGGGAGCCCGGAGCCC
rnacentral:lncRNA from 1 species